GUGCCAGCAGCCGCGGUAAUACGGAGGAUGCAAGCGUUAUCCGGAUUUAUUGGGUUUAAAGGGUGCGUAGGCGGAUUGAUAAGUCAGUGGUGAAAACCUGCAGCUUAACUGUAGAAUUGCCGUUGAUACUGUCAGUCUUGAGUACGGUCAAGGUAGGCGGAAUGUGUAAUGUAGCGGUGAAAUGCUUAGAUAUUACACAGAACACCAAUUGCGAAGGCAGCUUACUGGGCCACAACUGACGCUGAGGCACGAAAGCGUGGGGAGCGAACAGGAUUAGAAACCCGCGUAGUCC
rnacentral:rRNA from 1 species